rnacentral:rRNA from 1 species
UACGUAGGCAGCGAGCGUUGUUCGGAGUUACUGGGCGUAAAGGGUGCGCAGGCGCCAAGUGUGUCAGGUGUGAAAUCCCGAGCUUAACCUCGGAACUGCGCCUGAAACUACUUGGCUAGAGUACUGGAGAGGGUAACGGAAUUCACGGUGUAGCAGUGAAAUGCGUAGAUAUCGUGAGGAACACCAGAGGCGAAGGCGGUUACCUGGACAGUUACUGACGCUCAGGCACGAAAGCGUGGGGAGCAAAAGGG